rnacentral:miRNA from 1 species
AUGAUUCCUGUCCUCAAGGAGGUCCCAGGCUAGUGUGGAGGCAGCUACCUGCCAGAGUGCUGGGCCCCUGACACAAGCAUGCACUGUGGAUCUGGGGUC